ACUCCUACGGGAGGCAGCAGUGGGGAAUAUUGCACAAUGGGGGAAACCCUGAUGCAGCCAUGCCGCGUGUGUGAAGAAGGCCUUCGGGUUGUAAAGCACUUUCAGUAGGGAGGAAGGUAGUGUAGUUAACACCUGCACUAUUUGACGUUACCUACAGAAGAAGCACCGGCUAACUCCGUGCCAGCAGCCGCGGUAAUACGGAGGGUGCGAGCGUUAAUCGGAAUUACUGGGCGUAAAGCGCAUGCAGGCGGCCUGUUAAGUCAGAUGUGAAAGCCCGGGGCUUAACCUCGGAAUUGCAUUUGAAACUGGCAGGCUAGAGUCUUGUAGAGGGGGGUAGAAUUUCAGGUGUAGCGGGUGAAAUGCGUAGAGAUCUGAAGGAAUACCAGUGGCGAAGGCGG
rnacentral:rRNA from 1 species